rnacentral:misc_RNA from 1 species
GUGAUUUCAAUGUGUAUGGUUUUCCGGAGUUAGGGACGUUUAUUUACAACAGCAGCAGGUAAAAGCAUAAACAAACAGUAAUUACAGUCGAGAAUCAGGCUGAUAAGUCAAUCCCAACAUCUAAACCCCAAUAUCCAACAGCAAUUUAUAUGAUAAUGUUUUGCAUUUUUCAGCCAAAACCAAAGAUCACUGCCACCACAAAAGUAUUUAUAUCUCGUCUUGAACAUGUCAUACAGCAAAAGACAGCUUGUCAGGAGACGAGGCAUCCUGUCCAUAGUAAUAGUUACAAAAUGACAUGAACAGCACAACAGGAAUGAAGAUACCUCCGAACCCCCAGGACACAUCGAUCAUCUUAUGGUGAGCUUUCUCAAAGUCAGAAAAAUCUGUGGCAUCAUCACAAAUAGUCUUAGUUCUGGCAAUAAAAGAGUCCAUGUCCAUGACAGGAACUUCACUGUUAUCCACAACAUUAGCUAGCCUUCUUUUCUUGCUUCGGUCAAAUUCCAUUAGAUUUCUUGUUUCUUCUCUUAAAUAUUUAUAACUUCGCAUCAAAUUCAUGAUGAGCACGUUCAUUUUUG